rnacentral:rRNA from 1 species
AUCUGAAAAGUGAACGACCCUUCGGGAGCUUACACAGGUGUUGCAUGGCUGUCGUCAGCUCGUGUCGUGAGAUGUUCGGUUAAGUCCGCUAACGAGCGCAACCCUCACUGUGUGUUAUACGUGUCACACGGGACUGCCGGUUUUAAGCCGGAGGAAGGCGAGGAUGACGUCAAGUCAGCAUGGCCUUUAUAUCCUGGGCUACACACACGCUACAAUGGGAAGGGACAAUAGGUUGCGAAGCCGCGAGGUGGAGCCAAUCCAGCAAAACUUCCCUCAGUUCAGAUUGCAGGCUGCAACUCGCCUGCAUGAAGUUGGAGUUGCUAGUAAACGCAGGUCAGCCAUACUGCGUUGAAUACGUUCCCGGGGCUU